rnacentral:rRNA from 1 species
AUACGGAGGGUGCAAGCGUUACUCGGAAUCACUGGGCGUAAAGCGCGCGCAGGCGGUCUUUUAAGUUGGAUGUGAAAGCCUACGGCUCAACCGUAGAACUGCAUCCAAAACUAUUAGACUAGAGUGUGGGAGAGGAAGAUGGAAUUAGUUGUGUAGGGGUAAAAUCCGUAGAGAUAACUAGGAAUACCAAAAGCGAAGGCAAUCUUCUGGAACACUACUGACGCUGAGGCGCGAAGGCGGGGGGAGCAAACAGGAUUAGAAACCCCAGUAGUCC